GAUGGAAUGACUGUCUUUGCGUAAUAAAGCAUUGGCUUCCUUGUGGGCCAUGCCAGGGUGUUUCUUUCAUCAGCCAGCUGGCUGUGCGAGCACUGAGAAGCUAUACUUUGGAGCUGGGACCAAGUUGACUGUUUUAGAAUCAGGACAACAAUCGAGAGCCCCAAAUGUGACCACUUUUGCCCCCUCCAGGCAGGAAAUUGAAGAAAAAUAUGUGGUCACCCUUGUGUGCUUGGCGAGCAAUUUCAUUCCAGACCACGUUAACAUUAACUGGUACCAGUCUGACGAAGAGAUAACAGAGGGGGUAAAGACGGAGGAGUUCUCCAAAUAUGACAGUACAACGAAGACCUAUUCCUUGAUCAGCCGCUUGAGGAUCUCCAAGGACAAGUGGAGGAAUUCUAUAAGUCCAUUCCAGUGUAAAGUCAAAUUCUAUGAGAAUGACACUGUGAAUGUCUAUGAAAGUGUCAUCCAGGGUGAAGGUUGUGAUGCAGCAAAAGUGUCAUAUAGAAACAGUGGCUAUGUCGGAUUCUUUGUCUACAUUCUUCUUAUCUGCAAGAGCACCUGCUAUGGAGUGUUUGUUAUGGUAUUGAUGCUGAGGAAAAAGAAAGUGUAAUAGAAGUUCUUUACUUGGAAACCUCUUGCCAGCAUGCAAUGAAUUGUUUGAAACCAGAAGGAAAGAGGAAUGCAAAUACUCUUGCCCUAAUAUCCGAUGCAGCAUUUUUGAACUUUCUUAACAUAACCAUAUUUGUUUUGACUCUGUCUGAGGUUAUUCAGUUUGAGGCUAUUCAGUUCUUUAUGUUUGUAAAAACACUGGCCAUUUUUUUUAUUUAGGUUUGUUAACAUUUUUAAUAAUGCCAGUUGAAGGUAAGCAUGCUUAAAACAACAGGCUUAAAGCCCCAUUGAUUUCAGAGAGAGCUGUGGUGUUUACAGGGCUGAAAUCAAUGCAGUUUGAGGUGUUUAACUUUGACUGGAUCAGGUCCAGUGAUUUAAAAGAAAUAGGCUUAAAAAUGACUCUAUUAAAAAAGAGUGGAAAAAGGAAACAAGGCAAACUGACUAAAAAGAGUCUAUGACUUAUUAAAAAGGAGACACUGAAAGCACAAAAAAAACUUGAGCAUCUUAAAUGUCUUUUAAAUAAAGUUGCAGAUUGUUUAAUUUGUAGUGUUUUCUCUGUUAUUAGCAUUUCUGACACAAGAAUUCAGAUCUUCUCAACGGGUCUCAGAUGUAUUGCCACAAACUAACUUUGGUGGGGGUAGGGUCUUGUCUCAUUUUAUUGUGUGUUUCGUUCUGAAUAAACUGAUUGUGUGUUCCUUUCUGAA